UAGGGAAUAUUAGAAAUGGACGAAAGUCUGAUCUAGCAACACCGCGUGUGCGAAGAAGGCCUUCGGGUCGUAAAGCACUUUUUGGAAGGAAUAGGAAGGAAUGUACUUCCAGAAUAAGUCUCGGCUAACUACGUGCCAGCAGCCGCGGUAACACGUAGGAGGCAAACGUUAUCCGGAUUUACUUGGCGUAAAGCGCGUGUAGGUGGUACUGUAAGUAGGGCGUGAAAGCUCCUGGCUCAACUGGGAGAGGCCGUUCUAAACUACAGAACUAGAGGAUGGUAGAGGGGGGUGGAAUUCCAGGUGUAGCGGUGGAAUGCGCAGAUAUCUGGAGGAACUCCGGUGGCGAAGGCGGCCUCCUGGACCAUUCCUGACACUCAGACGCGAAAGCUAGGGUAGCAAACG
rnacentral:rRNA from 1 species